rnacentral:rRNA from 1 species
CCCUUAGAUGUCCUGGGCCGCACGCGCGUUACACUGAUGCAUUCAACGAGCUUAUAACCUUGGCCGAGAGGCCUGGGCAAUCUUGUUAACGUGCAUCGUGAUAGGGAUAGACCUUUGCAAUUAUGGGUCUUCAACGAGGAAUUCCUAGUAAACGCAAGUCAUCAGCUUGCAUUGAUUACGUCCCUGCCCUUUGUACACACCGCCCGUCGCACCUACCGAUUGAAUGGUCCGGUGAAAUCUCGGGACGGCGGCUUGGUCGCUUGCGUCCGACUGCUGAAACUUGAUUAAACCAUAUCAUUUAGAGGAAGGUGAAGUCGUAACA